AGCAGCAUGGCUCAGUGGAAAGAGCACGGGCUUGGGAGUCAGAGGUCAUGGGUUCUAAUCCCUGUUCUGCCA
rfam:Ornithorhynchus anatinus chromosome 1, whole genome shotgun sequence.